rnacentral:rRNA from 1 species
UACGGAGGGUGCAAGCGUUAUCCGGAUUCACUGGGUUUAAAGGGUGCGUAGGCGGAAUGGAAAGUCCGUUGUGAAAUCUCUGAGCUUAACUCGGAAAUUGCGGUGGAUACUAUCAUUCUUGAAUACUGUGGAGGUUAGCGGAAUAUGUCAUGUAGCGGUGAAAUGCAUAGAUAUGACAUAGAACACCAAUUGCGAAGGCAGCUGGCUACACAGAUAUUGACGCUGAGGCACGAAAGCGUGGGGAUCAAACAGG